UCAGACGAUGCGUCAUGCAUAUCAAUAAGCGGAGGAAAAGAAACUAACAAGGAUUCCCUUAGUAACGGCGAGUGAAGCGGGAAGAGCUCAAAUUUGAAAUCUUCAAGGUUUUACCUUGACGAAUUGUAGUUUAAAGAAGUGUUUUCUGCUGAAGUUUUGGUAAAAGUUCUUUGGAAUAGGACAUCAUAGAGGGUGAGAAUCCCGUAUUUGACCAUUAUUUUCAGCUUUGUGAUACACUUUCAAAGAGUCGGAUUGUUUGGGAAUGCAGUCCAAAAUGGGUGGUAAAUUUCAUCUAAAGCUAAAUAUUGGCGAGAGACCGAUAGCGAACAAGUACCGUGAGGGAAAGAUGAAAAGAACUUUGAAAAGAGAGUUAAACAGUACGUGAAAUUGUCAAAAGGGAAGCGUUUGACACCAGUGUUGUUUUCUCGAAAAUCAAUUAAAAAUGGCUCGAUUUUGUAUUGCUGAGACCUUAAAAGUUCACUGUACAUUUUUCGUGUCUUUUUUAAUGCACUUUUCGUUUAACAAGUCAACAUCAGUUUCUUUUGUUGUAAAAGGGUCAUUGGAAGGUGGCUUUCUUUUCGGAGAAAGUGUUUAUAGCCUUUGGCCUCUGCAAUCGAAGAGACUGAGGUCUGCAGCGUAGACUCUUCGGGGUUAGAUACAUUUGUGCUAAGUUAUAGCUUUUUAUAGACAACUUGUUGACUAUAAUUAGUCUUGUAGCUUACUCGCUUAUGCUAUUUUACCUACGCUUAGGAUGUUGACGAUCAGCUGAGCGCG
rnacentral:rRNA from 1 species